GAAAUGCGAUAAGUAAUGUGAAUUGCAGAAUUCAGUGAAUCAUCGAAUCUUUGAACGCGUCUUGCGCUCCUUGGUAUUCCUUGGAGCAUGCCUGUUUGAGUAUCAUGAAAUCUUCAAAGUAAAUCUUUUGUUAACUCAAUUGGUUUCUACUUUGGUAUUGGAGGUCUUUGCAGCUUCACACCUGCUCCUCUUUGUUCAUUAGCUGGAUCUCAGUGUUAUGCUUGGUUCCACUCGGCGUGAUAAGUUAUCUAUCGCUGAGGACACUGUAAAAGGUGGCCAAGGUAAAUGCAGAUGAACCGCUUCUAAUAGUCCAUUGACUUGGACAAUACUUUUAUGAUCUGAUCUCAAAUCAGGUAGGACUGCCCGCUGAACUUAAGC
rnacentral:misc_RNA from 1 species